rnacentral:rRNA from 1 species
UACGGAGGGUGCAAGCGUUAUCCGGAUUCACUGGGUUUAAAGGGUGCGUAGGUGGCUUUGUAAGUCAGUGGUGAAAGCCCGGAGCUUAACUCCGGAACUGCCAUUGAUACUGCUUAGCUUGAAUCAACUUGAGGUGGAUGGAAUAUUACAUGUAGCGGUGAAAUGCUUAGAUAUGUAAUAGAACACCGAUUGCGAAGGCAGUUCACUAAGGUUGUAUUGACACUGAGGCACGAAAGCGUGGGGAUCAAACAGGAUUAGAAACCCUAGUAGU